rnacentral:rRNA from 1 species
UGGGGGAUAUUGCACAAUGGGCGAAAGCCUGAUGCAGCGACGCCGCGUGGGGGAUGAAGGCUUUCGGGUUGUAAACCUCUUUCGCUAUCGAACAAGGCCCGCUUCGGGUGGGUUGAGGGUAGGUGGAGAAGAAGCGCCGGCUAACUACGUGCCAGCAGCCGCGGUAAUACGUAGGGCGCGAGCGUUGUCCGGAAUUAUUGGGCGUAAAGGGCUUGUAGGCGGCUUGUUGCGCCUGCUGUGAAAACGCGGGGCUUAACUUCGAGCGUGCAGUGGGUACGGGCAGGCUUGAGUGUGGUAGUGGUGACUGGAAUUCCAGGUGUAGCGGUGGAAUGCGCAGAUAUCUGGAGGAACACCGAUGGCGAAGGCAGGUCACUGGGCCAUUACUGACGCUGAGGAGCGAAAGCAUGGGUAGCGAACAGG